GUAUGUUAUGGCCUGUGAGCGGCGGACCUGAGGGCAACGAGCACGAGGGAGAGAGGUGCCGGAGGCGGACGAGGAGAGGGAGUCCUCCGGAAAGAUUUGCAGAGGACAGAAUCAUGGACAAACUGAGGUCUAUAAGCGGACCUACGAUUGAUCUACCUCCUCAACAAGAAAAAGACAAGAAGUUUGGUGGGAACUGCAGGCUCUAUGUUGGUAAUGCUGGCACCAACUUCACAGACAAAGAUCUCGUGGAAAUGUUCAAACCUUACGGAGAAACUAGCGACCAUUUUACAGUGCAGAAAAGAACUUCGGAUUUAUCAAGAUGGAUUUCCGUAGCAAUGCUGAACGAGCUAAGAGGGAACUAGAUGGCCAAAUGCGAAAAGGCAAACCCUUGAAAGUGCGAUUUGCUCCACCUGGAACUAUCCUCAAAGUGAAGAACUUAUCAGACCAGGUUUCUAAUGAGCUGUUGAGCUAGCGUUUAGCGUUUUCGGCGAAGUAAGUCACCUCGUUUUCUCUGUUUCUACACCUGGAUUUCACAUGAAUAUCUCUGUGUGAGGAUAUGCAUAGG
rnacentral:lncRNA from 1 species